rnacentral:misc_RNA from 1 species
GCAAACUUGGUCAUUUAGAGGAAGUAAAAGUCGUAACAAGGUUUCCGUAGGUGAACCUGCGGAAGGAUCAUUACCGAGUGAGGGUCCCCCCGGGGGCCCAACCUCCCACCCGUGUUUACUGUACCCUGUUGCUUCGGCGGGUUGCCCCCGGGCGCCCGCCGGAGACCCCAACAUGAACACUGUACGAGAGCAUUGCAGUCUGAGUGAUUGAUACCAAUCAGUUAAAACUUUCAACAAUGGAUCUCUUGGUUCCGGCAUCGAUGAAGAACGCAGC